rnacentral:lncRNA from 1 species
AAAUGGGCUAAAGAAUUGAACAGACACUUCACAGAAGAAGAAAUAUAAUUGAUCAACAAAUAUAUGAAAAAAUAUUGAACGUCUCUAGCAAUUAGAGAAAUGCAAAUCAAAACUAUGCUAAAAUUUCAUCUUAUUCCUGUCAGAAUGUCAAUCAUCAAGAAGACAGGCAACAAUAAAUGUUGAUGAGGAUGUGGUGAAAAAGGUACACUAACACAUUGCUGGUGGGACUGCAAAUUGGUGCAACCACUAUGGAAAGCAGUAUGGAGAUACCUCAGAAAAUUGGGAAUGGAACCACAAUUUGACUCAGCUAUCUCACUCUCGGUUUAUAUCCCAAGGACUUAAAAUCAGCAUACUAUAGUAAUGAAGCUCUGUCAAUGUUUAUAGCAGCUCAAUUCACAAUAGCUAGACUAUGGAACCAACCAACCUAGGUGUUCUUCAAUAGAUGAAUGGAUAAAGAAAAUGUGGUGUAUAUGUUCAAUGGAAUAUUACUCAGCUUUAAAGAAGAAUGAAAUUAUUUAUGCCAGUAAAUGAAUGGAGUUAGAGAAUAUCAUGCUAAGUGAAAUAAGCCAAUCUCAAAAAACCAAAGGCUGAAUGUUUUCUCUAACAUGCGGAUGCUAAUUCACAAUUAGGCAGGGGGAACUAGGG